AUUUUAUUUAUAAUAUUUUAUCGUGAACUCCUUAGCUCAUAUUAUGGACUCCGAAAUACAAUUUUUUUCUUGUGAAUCCUCUCAAAACUUCUUUGGAUCUCGGUUGGGAAACGCUCAGAUAGAUGAACUCCGUCUAGGCCAGCGGUGGGCGAACUUUUCUGACCCCGGGUCACAUGGAUUUCUGUAAGGUUUAUAACGGACCGCAUGUGAGAAAAAUUUUUUUUACUCUCCGAUACAUGUGGUACUCAUACAGUAGUAUAGGAAAAUAUUGCGAUCAUGCCGGAAACCAGCGUUUUAUUUUUAAGCAAUUUUCAUGGUCACCUCAAAAUCCGUUGUCGUGUAUCCGUUACAUAUUCAAAAAUAUCAGAAAAUCGAAUGGGGCACAUGCCAGAUUUUUUUAAAGGGGACAAGCUUACAAAAUGUAAAUUUAAUUAAUUAUAAAUUGCUUGUUUAUAUAAUUGAAUAC
rnacentral:lncRNA from 1 species